rnacentral:rRNA from 1 species
AUUGAACGCUGGCGGCAGGCCUAACACAUGCAAGUCGAACGAGUGGCGGACGGGUGAGUCAUGUCUGGGACCCUGCCCGCUGGAGGGGGAUAACUAAUGGAAACGGUAGCUAAUACCGCAUACCAUCGGGUGUGCCCAGAUGGGAUUAGAGAGUAGGUGGGGUAACGGCUCACCUAGGCGCCGGUCCCUAGCUGGUCUGAGAGGAUGACCAGCCACACUGGACCUGGGACACGGUCCAGACUCCUACGGGAGGCAGCAGUGGGGAAUAUUGCACAAUGGGCGCAAGCCUGAUGCAGCCAUGCCGCGUGUAUGAAGAAUGCCUUCGGGUUGUAAAGUACUUUCAGCGAGGAGGCGUUACUCGCAGAAGAAGCACCGGCUAACUCCGUGCCAGCAGCCGCGGUAAUAC